UAGCACCACCACUACAGAAAAGGAAACACUGACAAUUAAGCACCGAAACCAAGCCUUUUGCAUCGGUAAGAACCAAGAGCUGAAACAGUGACAAGGCGCAAUUCUAAAGCCUUAAAAUUUGCAAACACUUCGACCAAGAAGAUGAAAACCAUGCUCACGAUUUCCACACUAACACGAGCCAAGUAGUUCUCCACCUUGAACUCCUCACAAACUUCCACUUGUACACUCUCCUUGCCUCACACCUUUCUUCUUGAUCAUAUCUCCCAUCUCUCUCUCUCCUCUUAAAUUUCACUACUGGAGUUCGCAUCUCCAUUUCCUUUCCUCUUUUCGCUGUACAUAACUUAGUUCACUCAAAAAUUAGCCAAAGAAAAACUAGAGCAAAAUGUCAGGUGGUGUUGGCCCUUCAUGUAGUGACAUAAGCCUUCCAAAUGAAAGAGAACAAAAACAGAAACUCCAAGAAGACCUGUCUUAAUUGAAAAACCCUAAAAGCACUACCUCUUCAAAGAAAGCUGGUUUUGUGGCAUGGUAAGCCUUCAAGACUUUGCUUUUGUUGUCUUUUCCAUUAUUUAAAUGCAUUUUUUUCUCCAAAGUUGCAUUCCCCACCACUAUCAACCCUCCAAGAGAGUCUAGUUUUUUACCCAAAAAACCAAGAUUCUCGGCCUAUACGUGUUUGUUGGUGCUAUUGUUGGACUCUUUCUCCCCCUAGCUUACAUCUUUGAAGACAUUUUCGAGGGAGAUAAAGAAGGAAUCAAAGCUGCAGCACCAGCAGCUCAGGUUUUCAUGGAAGGAGUGGCAUUUUCAGAUAGGUUUUCGAUCCCAAUACGUGUUUUUGUGCCUGUGUUUUAUAAUUCAAGGAGGAUUUCACACUUGUGGAUUGGUUGAGGAAUGAGAUCACAAAGGUGGAGCAGGAUUACGGAGGAUCUACUAGGAGGCUCCACAUUGGUAGAGCUCUUGCUGUGGCUAACCUGGCCUUUUGGAGCUUGUUUACAUCCCUGGAGCCUUCAAGAAGUACUACACUGGAUUGAAGAGGUGACAGAGCACAACAAGGGAAAAACAUCAAAACAUUCUAUGCGUAGAGGAGAAUGCAGCUUCUGUUCACUAUUUAAAAUCGAGUCCCCGAAUACCCCUGAACAAAAAUUUCGUAUGCUUUUACGAAGGUCUUACUAUAUAAUUACAAACCACAUACUGAAAAAUCAAUACUCUACCAGUUUUCUCGUAUUAAAGUUCCACUUCCACUCAUGACACCAAGCAACAUCUAGGAACACGCGGAGUCCCCAAAGGAUUUGCAAGAUAAGCAACUAUAUAUCCCCAAAUCUUUGUCAAUACAUUAGAGAUCUUCAUGAAGAAGCCGAUAGGAAGCAUUCUGAAAAAUGAGGAGAAAAAUUUGAAUGACAUUCAAAGGGAAGACAAAAACUGUGGAAGCAAUAUUUUUCAAAAGGUACAGGAGCUUGCCGAUGAAAACAGCUGAAAGUCACAAGCAAAGCCAAUAACGCGCAAGAAUACAGACAACUGAGCGUAUUGUGCUCAAGUUGUCUACUCUGAGUUCUUUUUACUUCUAUUUUCUAAGCUUUUCGAACGUACGAAGAUGCCCAGAAAGAAUGUUGCAUUUUUGGUGGGUUAAACAAACAAUAUACUCACAUGCAAUACACACCAGAUAAUGGCCUCAAUUCUUCUGGCA